AGUGAACGCUGGCGGCGUGCCUAACACAUGCAAGUCGAACGGGCUAGUGCUUCGCACUAGUCUCUUUCUGGGGUUGCUACUCUAAGGCUACCUGCUAAAGUUAUUGCUUUAAAGCAGGGGUUUUAGGGGACCUUCCCCAAAAGGGGCCAGUGCGGAGCACUGGCCAGUGGCGAACGGGUGAGUAACACGUGGGUAAUCUGCCCUCGAGUGGGGAAUAAGCUCCCGAAAGGGGGUCUAAUACCGCAUGACGUUUCAUAACGAUGGUUAUGAAACCAAAGCCCAAAAGGCGCUUGAGGAGGAGCCUGCGUCCUAUCAGCUUGUUGGCAGGGUAAUGGCCUACCAAGGCUAUGACGGGUAGCCGGCCUGAGAGGGUGUCCGGCCACACUGGAACUGAGACACGGUCCAGACUCCUACGGGAGGCAGCAGUGGGGAAUUUUGCGCAAUGGGGAACCCUGACGCAGCGACGCCGCGUGGAGGAUGGACGGGCCGUUCGGGUUCGGUUAAACGUACCGUUCGUUCGUAGAAGGGAACGGAAACGUACCCGACCG
rnacentral:rRNA from 1 species